GAGUUUGAUCCUGGCUCAGAUUGAACGCUGGCGGCAGGCCUAACACAUGCAAGUCGAGCGGAUGACGGGAGCUUGCUCCUUGAUUCAGCGGCGGACGGGUGAGUGAUGCCUAGGAAUCUGCCUGGUAGUGGGGGACAACGUUUCGAAAGGAACGCUAAUACCGCAUACGUCCUACGGGAGAAAGCAGGGACCUUCGGGCCUUGCGCUAUCAGAUGAGCCUAGGUCGGAUUAGCUAGUUGGUGGGGUAAUGGCUCACCAAGGCGACGAUCCGUAACUGGUCUGAGAGGAUGAUCAGUCACACUGGAACUGAGACACGGUCCAGACUCCUACGGAGGCAGCAGUGGGGAAUUUUGGACAAUGGGGGCAACCCUGAUCCAGCCAUGCCGCGUGAGUGAAGAAGGCCUCGGUUGUAAG
rnacentral:rRNA from 1 species